UUAUUGCUUUUUGACAGUUGACUAAUAUUUUUUUCUUUUCAUUUAUGAUUUUAUUACUUUUCUUAUUUUCCCUUACAAUAUAACUGGUUGGUUAGGCAAGACUUAUUCACGUGGAAAGCGUUACGUGACUGUUUUGUAGGCAAUGGAACUUUCAGCAGGAGCUAAAUCCUGAAGCUAGUGGGAGUGCUUCAAAAGCAAGGACUGGAGCAUUUAGUCCAGUUUUCCAGGUGUGAAAAUUAUAUUAUAUGUAUGAAAAUCAGUGUCUACAUUACAUGAAUGAGCUCUAAACUGAAAAUGUAUAGAAUUACUUGGUGUAUGAAGGUGUGAGCUCCUACCUAAGACUCCUGGUGUCAGAAAAGUCCUUAGAAUUCUCCUAUCUCAGUUGAACUAAAUGCAAGUAGUUUUCCUACUUCUUAGCAGCUGGUCAGAGAGUGACAUUGUAAUCUCUAGUGAGAGGAGACUGUUUGUUUUUCUAGGUGCAUGGUGAGUGUCCAUGGCAACUGCUGAGGUCUGGGAAGGAAAAUAGAAUUAUACAGAGGGGAAAAGCAGGCAACAAUAAAGAGCCUUUGGGCCUCAUUUGAGAUGAACUACUUGGGUCACUGCCAAAGUUUUAGACUGUGCUUUAAGGAGGAACCCCAGAAGCUACCUUUGACUUCAGAUCCUGAAAAUGAAAUCAAGAACCUUCUGCAUCCAACAGAAAUGCAGUAAUAUGCUUUUAUUACCCUGUGUACAAUUGCAGAAUGAUUACAUCAGUUUUGUAUCAAUUUCUCAAAUGUAACUGUAUCGUGAAACAGCUUAUAAUGCUAGGCUAGCAUCUUUUCAUUUUCCAGGCUCUGUAUUAGCAUUUUAUAAAAUUCUUCAAGGGUGAAGAGUGUUGCUUUGAUCCCAUCUCUGCUCCUUUAACAGAGAUUGACCACAGCUCUAAGACAGCUUUUAGGUAGAUUUGUAGAUGGGGUCGCAUAGUUCAUGUGACAUAACAUAACACCAUUUUGAAUUACAUUCAAUAAAUGUAUUUUCCUGUCUUAAGUUGAGAGUAUGGAUAGAAUUUCAGGCAUAGGUAUUUGAAGGACAUAUCAGAGGGGCAAUAAGCCUUAGUAAUUUGAGCAUGGAAGCAAAAACCAAGGAUUUCUGCAUUAUAAUUUUGGCUUUGGCAUAAUUGCUCUGUGGUUGCAUGUCAUUGCCACAUCCCGUCAUGAGCAACAUCCUCAGCUGGGGCAAAUAGGCCCAGCUAAGUUUUACAGUAUAGUCCACACAGAACUGGCCUAAGGGAUAACUGCAGUUUCUACCCUUCCUUGAUUAUCCGGAAUGUUUGAAUCUCUAGUAAUACCGAAGACAUAGUUCUGCCUAGGCAGCUGGACAACAGGCUAGGCUUAGGGCUACAAUUUUAAGAGCUCCUCCCUAAAAAGCCCAUACCAAACAAAAGCAAACAUGGGAUUGCAUUUUAGCUUCUCAGCUAAUCUGAAAUUUCUGUCAAGUGGAGAGAAAAGCAUUUCCCCCCACAGCCAAAUUAAAAACUGCUUGUCAAAACACCUCCAGCCAGAGAUCAAUUUUGAACUUAGCUUAAAUUUUAAAAUGUUAGUUUAAAAUAUAUUUUUUUAAAAAAAUAUACAUCCCCUUUCCCCUGUCUCCCUCAUAGGGUUGAGAAAGGCAGGCCAGCAGGAAGAAUGUCUCACAUUAGCUCUAGAUAGGCCAAGGACCUAAAGCAAGCCGCCCCUGACAAAAUGCGUUUUUUAUAUAUGUGUGUGUUGAUAUAUAAUUAUGCCAUUUUAAUGG